UAUCUCUGUAGAGUCUGCAUAUCAAUAAGCGGAGGAAAAGAAACUAACAAGGAUUCCCUUAGUAACGGCGAGUGAAGCGGGAAGAGCUCAAAUUUGAAAUCUUCAAGGUUCUACCUUGACGAAUUGUAGUUUAAAGAAGUGUUUUCUGUUAGAUGAGUAGCAAAAGUUCCUUGGAAUGGGACAUCAUAGAGGGUGAGAAUCCCGUAUUUGGUUAUUCAUUCUAGCUUUGUGAUACACUUUCAAAGAGUCGGAUUGUUUGGGAAUGCAGUCCAAAAUGGGUGGUAAAUUUCAUCUAAAGCUAAAUAUUGGCGAGAGACCGAUAGCGAACAAGUACCGUGAGGAAAGAUGAAAAGAACUUUGAAAAGAGAGUUAAACAGUACGUGAAAUUGUCAAAAGGGAAGCGUUUGACACCAGUGUUGUUUUUCCGAAAAUCAAUUACGAAUGGCUUGAUUUUGUGUUGUAUUGACCUUAUCAGCUUUCUUCACUUUUUUCGAGUCUUUCUUAAUGCACUUUUCGGUUAACAAGUCAACAUCAAUUUCUUUUGUUGUAAAAGAGUAUUCGGAAGGUGGCUUUCUUUUCGGAGAAAGUGUUUAUAGCCCUAUACUUCUACAAUCGGAGAGAUUGAGGUCUGCAGCGUAGAUCCUUCGGGGUUAGAUACACUUGUGCUAAGUUGUAGCUUUUCAUAGACAACUUGUUGACUAUGUUUAGUCAUGCGGCUUACUCGCUUAUGCUAUUUUACCUACGCUUAGGAUGUUGACUGAUAUGUAGUCGUA
rnacentral:rRNA from 1 species